GAUGAACGCUGGCGGCGUGCUUAACACAUGCAAGUCGAACGGGGAACGAGGGAGCUUGCUCCCUCCGGAUCAGUGGCGAACGGGUGAGUAACACGUGAGCAAUCUGCCCUGGACUCUGGGAUAAGCGUUGGAAACGACGUCUAAUACCGGAUACGAGGCGUGGGGGCAUCCCCAACGCCUGGAAAGAACUUCGGUCCAGGAUGAGCUCGCGGCCUAUCAGCUAGUUGGUGAGGUAACGGCUCACCAAGGCGACGACGGGUAGCCGGCCUGGGGGGGUGACCGGCCACACUGGGACUGAGACACGGCCCAGACUCCUACGGGAGGCAGCAGUGGGGAAUAUUGCACAAUGGGCGCAAGCCUGAUGCAGCAACGCCGCGUGAGGGACGACGGCCUUCGGGUUGUAAACCUCUUUUAGCAGGGAAGAAGCGAAAGUGACGGUACCUGCAGAAAAAGCACCGGCUAACUACGUGCCAGCCGCCGCCGUAACAC
rnacentral:rRNA from 1 species